UACGGGGGGGGCAAGCGUUGUUCGGAAUUACUGGGCGUAAAGGGUCCGUAGGUGGCCAACUAAGUCAGACGUGAAAUCCCUCGGCUUAACCGGGGAACUGCGUCUGAUACUGGAUGGCUUGAGUUUGGGAGAGGGACGCGGAAUUCCAGGUGUAGCGGUGAAAUGCGUAGAUAUCUGGAGGAACACCGGUGGCGAAGGCGGCGUCCUGGACCAACACUGACACUGAUGAGCGAAAGCCAGGGGAGCAAACGGG
rnacentral:rRNA from 1 species